rnacentral:rRNA from 1 species
AGAGGGUGCAAACGUUGUUCGGAAUUACUGGGCGUAAAGCGAGUGUAGGCGGUCCGAUAAGUCGGGUGUGAAAGCCCUGGGCUCAACCCAGGAAGUGCACUCGAAACUGCCGGGCUAGAGUAUCGGAGAGGUUGGUGGAAUUCUCGGUGUAGAGGUGAAAUUCGUAGAUAUCGAGAGGAACACCGGUGGCGAAGGCGGCCAAUUGGACGAAUACUGACGCUGAGACUCGAAAGCGUGGGGAGCAAACAGGAUUAGAUACCCUGGUAGUCCACGCCGUAAACGAUGGGUGCUAGGUGUCGCGGGCUUUGACUCCCGCGGUGCCGUAGCUAACGCAUUAAGCACCCCGCCUGGGAAGUACGGCCGCAAGGCUA